CCUACGGGAGGCUGCAGUGGGGAAUAUUGGACAAUGGGGGAAACCCUGAUCCAGCAAUGCCGCGUGUGUGAAGAAGGCCUGCGGGUUGUAAAGCACUUUCGGUUGGGAAGAAAAGUUUGGCGCCAAUACCGCCGAACCUUGACGUUACUGACAGAAGAAGCACCGGCUAACUCUGUGCCAGCAGCCGCGGUAAUACAGAGGGUGCAAGCGGUCGUCGGAAUCACGUAGCGGAACAUGCAAGUCGGUGGUCGAGUCCCCGGGCUUAACCUGGGAACUGCAUUCGAUACUACAUGGCUAGAGUAUGGUAGAGGGAAGUGGAAUUUCCGGUGUAGCGGUGAAAUGCGUAGAUAUCGGAAGGAACACCAAUGGCGAAGGCAGCUUCCUGGACUAAUACUGACACUGAGGCACGAAAGCGUGGGUAGCAAACAGGAUUAGAUACCCGUGUAGUC
rnacentral:rRNA from 1 species